rnacentral:lncRNA from 1 species
CACCCACAGAGGCUCAUAGGUGCCUUCUUCCACUGCUGUGACCGGAACACGUUCCCCAAAGCUCAUGUCUGGCGUCUUAACUCCCAAUGGAUCAGUACUGAGGGCUCUUCGCAGUGCUCAUGCCUAACCUUGGGCACUUUCUAUCUCCACCGUCUCCAACCGACCCAUCCCUACCUGUUCUGAGGAUUCUGCCUGUACGAUGUCUUGAAAGUUUGUCUGUGUGAAGACUGGCUCAGCCAUAUGGCAACUGCUUUUCACAAGCAGGAAGACAGGUCCCUUCUCAGAAUAUUCCCUGCGAGAUUAUUCCAGCAUGCAGAGCUUCCCAGAUUAUAGGGAGAAAAUACUGCAAACGCAGCAACAAUUAUGUGACACCCCCGCCCACUCCAUCCACCCCCACACCUGAGAGCCACUCCACACAGACUCACUUGUAUUCCCGAAGCAGAUCACAGGCAGAUUAUAAAUAAAACCUGC